CUGUGAGUCUGAAACAGGAUGUUAUAACGGAUUAACAGUCAGAGUUGGAAGAAAAUCGAUGUGAUGAUGAAAUAUCCACAUAUUUUUUAGCAGAGUGGAGAGCAGGCUAUACAACGUGAUUUAAGUUGGUUUCUGCCACAAACAAGUUCAGACUAAGUGUCUCUGUGCCACUGAGAGCCCAUUUCACUUCCUCUCAUCUACUUUCAAAGAACGAAAUGGUCGGUGGUUGAAGAAAAGUACAAAAUGUCAUUUGAGACAAAGUGGAAAACAGUCCUGAUCUCCAUCCUGGAGGAGCUGACUGAGGAAGAAUUCAAGGAGAUGCUGUUCUAUCUGGCUAAACUCCCUCAAGGAGUGAAGACUGGCAAGACCAGAGAAGAAAUCCCUGAUUUAAUCGAAAAUAAGUA